rnacentral:rRNA from 1 species
AUUACCUGCCCAGUGACUACAAGUUAAACGCCCGUGGUAUUUUGACCGUGCAAAGGUAGCGUAAUCACUUGUCUUUUAAAUGAAGACCUGUAUGAAUGGUGGAACGAGGGCUUAACUGUCUCCCCCUUCUAGUCAAUGAAAUUGAUCUGCCCGUGCAGAAGCGGACAUAAAAAUACAAGACGAGAAGACCCUUUGGAGCUUAAGACACAAGACCAAUUAUGUCAAGAAUCCUAAAAGCUACACCAAACUAAAUAACACUGGUCCUAGUCUUCGGUUGGGGCGACCACGGGAGAAAACAAAACUCCCAUGCGGACUGGGGAAACCCCCUAAAACUAAGAGAGACAUCUCUAAGGCGCAGAACAUCUGACCACCUAGAUCCGGCUAUAUGCCGACCAACGAACCAAGUUACCCUAGGGAUAACAGCGCAAUCCCCUUCCAGAGUCCAUAUCGACAAGGGGGUUUACGACCUCGAUGUUGGAUCAGGACGUCCUAAUGGUGCAGCCG